AACGAACGCUGGCGGCAGGCCUAAUACAUGCAAGUCGAACGGGCGUAGCAAUACGUCAGUGGCGGACGGGUGAGUAACACGUGGGAACAUGCCUUUCGGUUCGGAAUAACGCAGGGAAACUUGGGCUAAUACCGGAUACGUCCGUAAGGAGAAAGAUUUAUCGCCAAAGGAUCGGCCCGCGUCGGAUUAGCUAGUUGGUGAGGUAAAGGACUCACCAAGGCGACGAUCCGUAGCUGGUCUGAGAGGAUGACCAGCCACACUGGGACUGAGACACGGCCCAGACUCCUACGGGUGGCAGCAGUUUCGAAUCAUUCACAAUGGGCGAAAGCCUGAUGGUGCGACGCCGCGUGAGGGAUGAAGGUCUUCGGAUUGUAAACCUCUGUCACCGGGGAAGAAACGCUUCAAGUCAAUAGUUUGAAGCCUGACUUAACCCGGAGAGGAAGCAGUGGCUAACUCUGUGCCAGCCGCCGCUGUAAC
rnacentral:rRNA from 1 species